AGAGUUUGAUCAUGGCUCAGGACGAACGCUGGCGGCGUGCCUAAUACAUGCAAGUAGAACGCUGAAGAGAGGAGCUUGCUCUUCUUGGAUGAGUUGCGAACGGGUGAGUAACGCGUAGGUAACCUGCCUUGUAGCGGGGGAUAACUAUUGGAAACGAUAGCUAAUACCGCAUAACAAUGGAUGACACAUGUCAUUUAUUUGAAAGGGGCAAUUGUUCCACUACAAGAUGGACCUGCGUUGUAUUAGCUAGUAGGUGAGGCAAUGGCUCACCUAGGCGACGAUACAUAGCCGACCUGAGAGGGUGAUCGGCCACACUGGGACUGAGACACGGCCCAGACUCCUACGGGAGGCAGCAGUAGGGAAUCUUCGGCAAUGGGGGCAACCAUGACCGAGCAACGCCGCGUGAGUGAAGAAGGUUUUCGGAUCGUAAAGCUCUGUUGUAAGUCAAGAACGGGUGUGAGAGUGGAAAGUUCACACUGUGACGGUAGCUUACCAGAAAGGGACGGCUAACUACGUGCCAGCAGCCGCGGUAAUACGUAGGUCCCGAGCGUUGUCCGGAUUUAUUGGGCGUAAAGCGAGCGCAGGCGGUUUGAUAAGUCUGAAGUUAAAGGCUGUGGCUCAACCAUAGUUCGCUUUGGAAACUGUCAAACUUGAGUGCAGAAGGGGAGAGUGGAAUUCCAUGUGUAGCGGUGAAAUGCGUAGAUAUAUGGAGGAACACCGGUGGCGAAAGCGGCUCUCUGGUCUGUAACUGACGCUGAGGCUCGAAAGCGUGGGGAGCGAACAGGAUUAGAUACCCUGGUAGUCCACGCCGUAAACGAUGAGUGCUAGGUGUUGGAUCCUUUCCGGGAUUCAGUGCCGCAGCUAACGCAUUAAGCACUCCGCCUGGGGAGUACGACCGCAAGGUUGAAACUCAAAGGAAUUGACGGGGGCCCGCACAAGCGGUGGAGCAUGUGGUUUAAUUCGAAGCAACGCGAAGAACCUUACCAGGUCUUGACAUCCCGAUGCUAUUUCUAGAGAUAGAAAGUUACUUCGGUACAUCGGUGACAGGUGGUGCAUGGUUGUCGUCAGCUCGUGUCGUGAGAUGUUGGGUUAAGUCCCGCAACGAGCGCAACCCCUAUUGUUAGUUGCCAUCAUUCAGUUGGGCACUCUAGCGAGACUGCCGGUAAUAAACCGGAGGAAGGUGGGGAUGACGUCAAAUCAUCAUGCCCCUUAUGACCUGGGCUACACACGUGCUACAAUGGUUGGUACAACGAGUUGCGAGUCGGUGACGGCGAGCUAAUCUCUUAAAGCCAAUCUCAGUUCGGAUUGUAGGCUGCAACUCGCCUACAUGAAGUCGGAAUCGCUAGUAAUCGCGGAUCAGCACGCCGCGGUGAAUACGUUCCCGGGCCUUGUACACACCGCCCGUCACACCACGAGAGUUUGUAACACCCGAAGUCGGUGAGGUAACCUUUUGGAGCCAGCCGCCUAAGGUGGGACAGAUGAUUGGGGUGAAGUCGUAACAAGGUA
rnacentral:rRNA from 1 species